CUGUGGCAAUUCUAGAGCUAAUACAUGCACCAAAGCUCCGACUUUUGGACGAGCGCAUCUAUUAGGAUUAAAACCAAUCGGGCCAAUAUUAGACCCGUAAAUUGGUGACUCUGAAUAGCUAUGGCUGAUCGCAUGGUCUUGUACCGGCGACGUAUCUAUCAAGUAUCUGCCUUAUCAACUUUCGAUGGUAGUUUAUGUGCCUACCAUGGUUGUAACGGGUAACGGAGAAUAAGGGUUCGACUCCGGAGAGGGAGCCUGAGAAACGGCUACCACAUCCAAGGAAGGCAGCAGGCGCGCAAAUUACCCACUCUCGGCAUGAGGAGGUAGUGACGAAAAAUAACGAGACCGUUCUCUUUGAGGCCGGUUAUCGGAAUGGGUACAAUUUAAACCCGUUAACGAGGAUCUAUGAGAGGGCAAGUCUGGUGCCAGCAGCCGCGGUAAUUCCAGCUCUCAAAGUGUAUAUCGUCAUUGCUGCGGUUAAAAAGCUCGUAGUUGGAUCUACGUCUCAGGACCCGGUCCAUCCAUUGGAUGUGAACUGGGCUCCUAGGCUAAUUGUGCCAGUUUUCUCUACGUUACCUUAAUCGGUUGCGUAGGGUGACCGGCGAGUUUACCUUGAAAAAAUUAGAGUGCUCAAUGCGGGCUAAAAGCCUGAAUAUUCGUGCAUGGAAUAAUGAAAUAGGAUCUCGGUUCUAUUUUGUUGGUUUU
rnacentral:rRNA from 1 species